rnacentral:antisense_RNA from 1 species
GGGUGCUUAAGACUUUCUGUUUUGAGCAUGUGUGAGGAGCAGAAAGUUGAAAGCCCCGGGAAAGUUAAACUCACCCGAGGCUACAAAACAACAUCAACUCCCACAAGUUGAAGUUAGCCUCUUAUUCUUAUAAAUGCAAGGAGUAAAAGGCAUG